GCUCCCUGAUGUUAGCGGCGGACGGGUGAGUAACACGUGGGUAACCUGCCUGUAAGACUGGGAUAACUCCGGGAAACCGGGGCUAAUACCGGAUGGUUGUUUGAACCGCAUGGUUCAGACAUAAAAGGUGGCUUCGGCUACCACUUACAGAUGGACCCGCGGCGCAUUAGCUAGUUGGUGAGGUAACGGCUCACCAAGGCGACGAUGCGUAGCCGACCUGAGAGGGUGAUCGGCCACACUGGGACUGAGACACGGCCCAGACUCCUACGGGAGGCAGCAGUAGGGAAUCUUCCGCAAUGGACGAAAGUCUGACGGAGCAACGCCGCGUGAGUGAUGAAGGUUUUCGGAUCGUAAAGCUCUGUUGUUAGGGAAGAACAAGUGCCGUUCAAAUAGGGCGGCACCUUGACGGUACCUAACCAGAAAGCCACGGCUAACUACGUGCCAGCAGCCGCGGUAAUACGUAGGUGGCAAGCGUUGUCCGGAAUUAUUGGGCGUAAAGGGCUCGCAGGCGGUUUCUUAAGUCUGAUGUGAAAGCCCCCGGCUCAACCGGGGAGGGUCAUUGGAAACUGGGGAACUUGAGUGCAGAAGAGGAGAGUGGAAUUCCACGUGUAGCGGUGAAA
rnacentral:rRNA from 1 species